rnacentral:rRNA from 1 species
UUCUUUAUCACCGAGUGCUUGCACUCACCGAUAAAGAGUUGAGUGGCGAACGGGUGAGUAACACGUGGGCAACCUGCCCAAAAGAGGGGGAUAACACUUGGAAACAGGUGCUAAUACCGCAUAACCAUAGUUACCGCAUGGUAACUAUGUAAAAGGUGGCUAUGCUACCGCUUUUGGAUGGGCCCGCGGCGCAUUAGCUAGUUGGUGGGGUAAAGGCUUACCAAGGCAAUGAUGCGUAGCCGAACUGAGAGGUUGAUCGGCCACAUUGGGACUGAGACACGGCCCAAACUCCUACGGGAGGCAGCAGUAGGGAAUCUUCCACAAUGGGCGAAAGCCUGAUGGAGCAACGCCGCGUGGGUGAAGAAGGUCUUCGGAUCGUAAAACCCUGUUGUUAGAGAAGAAAGUGCGUGAGAGUAACUGUUCACGUUUCGACGGUAUCUAACCAGAAAGCCACGGCUAACUACGUGCCAGCAGCCGCGGUAAUACGUAGGUGGCAAGCGUUAUCCGGAUUUAUUGGGCGUAAAGGGAACGCAGGCGGUCUUUUAAGUCUGAUGUGAAAGCCUUCGGCUUAACCGGAGUAGUGCAUUGGAAACUGGGAGACUUGAGUGCAGAAGAGGAGAGUGGAACUCCAUGUGUAGCGGUGAAAUGCGUAGAUAUAUGGAAGAACACCAGUGGCGAAAGCGGCUCUCUGGUCUGUAACUGACGCUGAGGUUCGAAAGCGUGGGUAGCAAACAGGAUUAGAUACCCUGGUAGUCCACGCC